GCGUUGAUUUGUUUUGUUGUAAAAUAUUAGUUUUUUAAUUUGAUGGUUUUUUGGUGUUUAGGUUAUUUUGUUGAUUUUUUUAAUGAUCUUUCUAUUAGUAUUAUUUGAUGGUUUUUGGGGAUUUUGAUGUUUGAUUUUUUUUAGGUUAAGAAUUAUUACUAGGGAUUUUUUAAGCUGUUUAACAAAAUCUAAUUUUAUAUUUGUUAUGAAAGAUUUCUGCUCAGUGAUUUAUUAAAUAGCCGCGGUAUUUUGACUGUGCUAAGGUAGCGAAGUCAUUUGUUUUUUUAUUGGAAACUUGUAUGAGGGGAUUUUUUGAGAAAUUUUUAUUAAUUUUUAUGAUUUUGAAUUUGAUUUUUUAGUGAAAAGGCUAAAGUGUUCUUAAAGACGAGAAGACCCUAAAAUCUUUAUUUUAUAGAAGGGAUAUUAAAUUUUACUUGGGGGAAGGUUGUAUUAUAAUUUAUAAAAAUUUGUUAUUUUGAACUUUUUGAAGGUUGAUGGGAUAGAUACUUUAGGGAUAACAGGAUAAUGUGAUUUUAAAGUUCUUAUUUGAGAUUGAGUUUGUUACCUCGAUGUUGGUUUUUGGAGUUUGCUAGGGGUAGGUUUUUAGUUAAAUAAUCUGUUCGAUUAUUAAAACUGAACAUGAACUGAGUUCAAAUCGGUGUGAGCCAGAUUGGAUUUUAUCUUAAGAUGAUUGUAUAGUAUCUAGUACGAAAGGAUUGGUGCUUUUAGAUUUUCAG
rnacentral:rRNA from 1 species